GGUGAGUAACGCGUUGGUGACCUGCCCCAAAGUGUGGGAUAACAGUCUGAAAGGAUUGCUAAUACCUCAUGUGGCCAUCGGGUUUAGAAACCGAUGUCUAAAGCAGCAAUGCGCUUUGGGAGGGACCUGCGUCCCAUCAGCUAGUUGGUGAGGUAACGGCUCACCAAGGCGACGACGGGUAGGGGGCCUGAGAGGGUGGCCCCCCACAAUGGAACUGAAACACGGUCCAUACACCUACGGGUGGCAGCAGUAGGGAAUAUUGCACAAUGGGCGAAAGCCUGAUGCAGCAACGCCGCGUGAGCGAUGAAGGCCUUCGGGUCGUAAAGCUCUUUUCUGGGAGAUGAGAAAGGACAGUAUCCCAGGAAUAAGUCUCGGCUAACUACGUGCCAGCAGCCGCGGUAAAACGUAGGAGGCAAGCGUUAUCCGGAUUCACUGGGCGUAAAGCGCGUGCAGGCGGUUUGGUAAGUUGGGCGUGAGAUCUCCCGGCUCAACUGGGAGGGGUCGUUCAAAACUACCAGACUCGAGAGCGAUAGAGGAAAAUGGAAUUCCCGGUGUAGUGGUGAAAUGCGUAGAUAUCGGGAGGAACACCAGUGGCGAAAGCGAUUUUCUGGAUCGUUUCUGACGCUCAGACGCGAAAGCUAGGGUAGCAAACGGGAUUAGAGACCCCGGUAGUCCUAGCUGUAAACGAUGUGAACUUGGCGUUGGUGGCUUAAACUCCAUCAGUGCCGCAGCUAACGCGAUAAGUUCACCGCCUGGGGACUACGGCCGCAAGGAU
rnacentral:rRNA from 1 species